UAUCUCUCUUCUCUCUCAUGCCUUUCUCUCUUGUCUCUCUUCUCUCCCUCUCUCACGCCUUUCUCUCUUUCUCUCUUGUCUCUCUUCUCUCUAACACGAGUUUAUGUACGUCUUUGCAAAAAAGGAAGGGAUUACGAAACCAAGGAUGUGGUAUGAGCUUGCUUUGGAUGCUCAAAAACAUUCUUUGUAAAUCUGCCUAUGAGAAAAAGUGGCCACUUUAUCUUAGCACAAAGAAUAUCAUUCUUAAGAAGUAUGAUGGAAGGUAUGUGACCUUCUCAGCUUGUUACUUUUUACUCUAUUUGUAAAUCUGGGUUAUAAUCAUUGUAGCUUCCUUUGGAUGCUCAAAAUCAUUCUUUGUAAAUCUGCCUAUGAGAAAAAGUGGCCACUUUAUCUUAGCACAAAGAAUACCAUUCUUAAGAAGUAUGAUGGAAGAUUCAAGGACAUAUUUCAAGAAGUUUACGAGGCCAACUGGAAAUCAAAGUUUGAGGCUGCUGGCGUAUGGUAUGAACACCAUCUCACCGUUGAGGGUAUGGGAACCUUGAGACAGUUCGAGAACUUUGCCGCAAGGUAAAUGAGAAGUGUCCCGAUUUGAUUUUUCUCAUGAAAACCAAAUUACGAAGCAAUAAAUGUUGGUGAUUAAAUGAAGAAUGGGUUUCAAUAAUAUGAUAGUCGUUGAUUGAGUUGGAAGAAGCUGAGGCUUAGCAUUGCUAUGGAAGGAGGGUUUGGGGAUUGAACUCUAAAACUACAGUCACAGGCACAUUAGUACUGUAGUUUCUCCUCUUAAUUCAACUCCAUGUUUUUUUAUUGGCUUCUAUGGUCACCUGGAGACACAUAAAAGAUGUGCAGCAUGGGAUUCGUUGAGACAUCUAAAAUCUAUGGAAUCUGGUCCUUGGAUGUGUGCCGGCGAUUUUGAUGAAAUUCUCGACCAUUACGGAAAGGUUGGGGGAAGAUGAAGACCCAAUUAUUUAAUGGAGAAUUUCCAAUCAACUCUGGAAUUCUGUGGAUUAUAUGAAAUUGAUUGUAGGGGCCCUAUAUGCACGUGGAAUAAUGGGAGAGAUGGGUGUAACUUCACGAUGGAGAAAUUAGACCGUGUGGUUGCUAAUCAUGCAUGGCAGGUUCGAUUUCCUAACGUGGUAGCAUCCCUAGAUGUGGCUGUUUUCUCUGAUCAUCUUCCUCUUUCCAUUAAUCUUGAUGGGAGUCAUAAGAUUAAAGGGGACGUGGGUUCAAAUUUGAGGCUAUGCGAGCAGAAAGCCAGAAUUGAAAAGAAGCUAUUAGACAAAUAUGGAAGGUUAAGGCCACGUCUCAUGGGAGUUACAAGUCAGUGGAAAAGAAACUAAAAGCUAGUAAAAGGUGUUUGAAGGAAUGGCAACAGGUGAAUGGCAGGUGUGUGGGAUAGCAAAUUCAUAAGCUGUCCAAACAGUUGCUUGAGGCCCAAUCUAUUCAAGAGGGCAUGGACUCAGCCCUACUCUAAAGGUUGAAAACAGAUUUUCUUAACAAACAAAAUGAGGAUGAUCUCUAUUGGAGAUAGAGUGCGAAAGAGAAUUGGAUGAGGUUUCAGGAUCAAAACACCCGGUAUUUUCAUGCAUGCGCAAAUCAGGAAAAAAAAAAGGCCAAUUUGAUUACUGGCAUUACUGACGAGCGAGGGCAACGGUGGGAGACUCAUGAUUGUAUUAGAGAUGCGUUUGUUUAAUACUUCCAAUGCUUAUGUACUUCAGGGGGGCCUAGAAGUAUGGAGAAUGUUUUGGAGGCAGUGGAUGUACGUGUGUCUCAAGCUAUGAAUGAUUCUCUGUUGAAAGCUUUUACACAUGAAGAAGUGGGGGCUCCCCUAAAUCAGAUGGAUCCCUUGAAAGCGCCCGGCCCGAAUGGGUUUUCCGCAUGUUUUUUUCAAAAAAAAUUGGUCUGCCAUUGGAGAUGAGGUUAGCCAUGCUGUAAUUCAUACUGUGAAUAAUGGGUGCAUGAAUAAAGAGCUCAAUUUAACC